rnacentral:rRNA from 1 species
AUUGAACGCUGGCGGCAGGCCUAACACAUGCAAGUCGAGCGGCAGCGGAAAGUAGCUUGCUACUUUGCCGGCGAGCGGCGGACGGGUGAGUAAUGUCUGGGAAACUGCCUGAUGGAGGGGGAUAACUACUGGAAACGGUAGCUAAUACCGCAUAACGUCGCACGACCAAAGAGGGGGACCUUCGGGCCUCUUGCCAUCAGAUGUGCCCAGAUGGGAUUAGCUAGUAGGUGGGGUAACGGCUCACCUAGACGACGAUCCCUAGCUGGUCUGAGAGGAUGACCAGCCACACUGGAACUGAGACACGGUACAGACUCCUACGGGAGACAGCAGUGGGGAAUAUUGCACAAUGGGCGCAAGCCUGAUGCAGCCAUGCCGCGUGUAUGAAGAAGGCCUUAGGGUUGUAAAGUACUUUCAGCGGGGAGGAAGGUGUUGAGGUUAAUAACCUCAGCAAUUGACGUUACCCGCAGAAGAAGCACCGGCUAACUCCGUGCCAGCCGCCGCGGUAA